GUCACUUUGGUAGAGUGGUUAAUACGGUAGCCUGCUAAGCUAUUGCCCUUUGGGCGCGCAGGUUCGAAUCCUGCAGGUGACG